rnacentral:rRNA from 1 species
CGGAUUGUAGUCUGCAACUCGACUACAUGAAGCUGGAAUCGCUAGUAAUCGCGAAUCAGAAUGUCGCGGUGAAUAACGUUCCCGGGUCUUGUACACACCGCCCGUCACACCAUGGGAGUCGGGAAUGCCCGAAGUCAGUGACCCAACCGCAAGGAGGGAGCUGCCGAAGGCAGGCUCGAUAACUGGGGUGAAGUCGUAACAAGGUAAC